rnacentral:tRNA from 1 species
GGCGAGGUAGCUCAGGNGGUCAGAGCGUCGGAUUCAUAACCCGGAGGUCGGGAGUUCAAGUCUCCCCCUCGCUACNA